UCAACCAUAGUGUGNUCUGGAAACUGUCUGACUUGAGUGCAGAAGGGGAGAGUGGAAUUCCAUGUGUAGCGGUGAAAUGCGUAGAUAUAUGGAGGAACACCAGUGGCGAAAGCGGCUCUCUGGUCUGUCACUGACGCUGAGGCUCGAAAGCGUGGGUAGCGAACAGGAUUAGAUACCCUGGUAGUNCACGCCGUAAACGAUGAGUGCUAGGUGUUAGGCCCUUUCCGGGGCUUAGUGCCGGAGCUAACGCAAUAAGCACUCCGCCUGGGGAGUACGACCGCAAGGUUGAAACUCAAAGGAAUUGACGGGGGCCCGCACAAGCGGUGGAGCAUGUGGUUUAAUUCGAAGCAACGCGAAGAACCUUACCAGGUCUUGACAUCCCGAUGCUAUUCUUAGAGAUAGGAAGUUACUUCGGUACAUCGGAGACAGGUGGUGCAUGGUUGUCGUCAGCUCGUGUCGUGAGAUGUUGGGUUAGGUCCCGCAACGAGCGCAACCCUUAUUGUUAGUUGCCAUCAUUAAGUUGGGCACUCUAGCGAGACUGCCGGUAAUAAACCGGAGGAAGGUGGGGAUGACGUCAAAUCAUCAUGCCCCUUAUGACCUGGGCUACACACGUGCUACAAUGGUCGGUACAACGAGUUGCGAGCCGGUGACGGCAAGCUAAUCUCUGAAAGCCGAUCUCAGUUCGGAUUGGAGGCUGCAACUCGCCUCCAUGAAGUCGGAAUCGCUAGUAAUCGCGGAUCAGCACGCCGCGGUGAAUACGUUCCCGGGCCUUGUACACACCGCCCGUCACACCACGAGAGUUUGUAACACCCGAAGUCGGUGAGGUANCCUUUUAGGG
rnacentral:rRNA from 1 species